GCGGCACCCAGUCGGCUCUCAGAGCUUGGGACGUUGGCAGCCGGUCUGGCUGUGCAGCUGCCGCCCUCCGGCCCGCCCAGCUUGGCACUGGGUCUGCUUCUCACCGCACCAGCUGUCGGUUCGUUGGGAACCGAUCGCUGAGCGCUCUCCUCUCCGAUCCUGAUUGAGUCAGUGUGUUACAUUAUUUCUCAAUGCUUGCCAUAAAGCUGAGCUAUGCCCACUGUUGAGAGUGAAGCCAAAGCAAAAACCAAAAUUCGCUUUGAAGAAUUACUUAAGACCCACAAUGAUCUAAUUCGUGAAAGAAAAAAACUGAAGAAAAAACUUGCCAAAUCUAGAGAAAACAUCCCACUUGGCACUGUUAAAAGCAGUCUUCAGAAUAUUAAAGAAACCAAAAGUGAUGAUGUAAGUUGUAUUAACACUAAUAACCCAGAGAAGAGCAUUCGAGUCACUAAAAACAAAUUGAAGAAUACACAUUCAGCAGCUGAAGAUUCAAAUGAUGAUGUCAGUGUAGAGGAAGACAAGCAAGGGAAGCCAAGUAAAAAGAUUACAAAGACCACACAAGAAAUGGAACCAGAAACUUCUGAGAAGGUAGAUUUUGCACAUCAGAAAAUGCGAACAAAGUCAUUGUCCGGUGUUGAUCAUCAAAAAAGUGAUAAGACAAAGGAAGGAAAAGAAAAUAAUACUUUAGAAGGAGAAGAAGAACUCAUGCAAGCAUACCAGCUCCAGGUAGCUGAAGAAAUGGCAAAGGAAAUUAAGAAGAAAAUAAGGAAGAAACUGAAAGAACAGUUAACUUACUUUCCCUCAGAUACUUUAUUGCACGAUGACAAAUUGAGCAGUGAAAAAAAGAAAAAGAAGAAAAAGAAAGUUCCAGCCAUGUCUAAAGCUGAAACAAGCACAUUGAACAUCUCUGAUGACACAGUUGAAGAUGAACAAAAGAAGUACUCGCCAGUUGGAAACAUUACUUCAGAUUCUCAUCAAGAUGAUGAAGUAAGCUCAGUGGAACAAAAUGCAGAUGAUAACAUGCCAGAUAACACAAAGUCCAAACCAAAAAAGACAAAAAAGAAGACUAAAGCAGUUUCAGAUGAUAAUGAAGACAUUGAUGGUGAUGGUGUUCAUGAAAUAACAAGCCGUGAUAGUCCAGUUUAUCCCAAAUGCUUGCUUGAUGAUGACCUUGUCUUGGGAGUUUACAUUCACCGAACUGAUCGACUUAAAUCAGAUUUUAUGAUUUCUCACCCAAUGGUAAAAAUUCAUGUGGUUGAUGAGAAUACUGGUCAAUAUGUCAAGAAAGACAAUAGUGAACGACCCGUGUCAUCUUACUAUGAAAAAGAGAAUGUGGAUUAUAUUCUUCCUAUUAUGACUCAGCCUUAUGAUUUUAAACAGUUAAAAUCAAGACUUCCAGAAUGGGAAGAACAAAUUAUAUUUAAUGAAAAUUUUCCCUCUUUGCUUCGAGAGUUUGAUGAGAGUCCUAAAGUCAUCUUGUUCUUUGAGAUUGUUGAUUUUUUAAGCAUGGAUGAAAUUAAGAAUAACUCUGAGGUUCAAAACCAAGAAUGUGGCUUUCGGAAAAUUGCCUGGGCAUUUCUUAAGCUACUGGGAGCCAAUGGAAAUGCAAAUAUCAAUUCAAAACUUCGCUUGCAACUAUACUACCCACCUACUAAACCUCGAUCUCAAUUAAAUGUUGUUGAGGUUUUUGAAUGGUGGUCCAAAUGUCCAAGAAAACGUUAUCCUUCAACAUUGUAUGUAACUGUUCGAGGAUUGAAAGUUCCAGACUGUAUAAAACCAUCUUACCGCUCUAUGAUGGCACUUCAGGAGGAAAAAGGUAAACCAGUGUAUUGUGAACGCCACCGUGAAUCAAGUUCAGUCGACACAGAACCUGGAUUAGAAGAUUCAAAGGAAGUAGUAAAAUGGAAACGACUUCCUGGGCAGGCUUGCCGUAUCCCAAACAAGCACCUCUUCUCACUGAAUGCAGGAGAGCGGGGAUGUUUUUGUCUUGAUUUCUCCCACAAUGGAAGAAUAUUAGCAGCAGCCUGUGCCAGCCGGGACGGAUAUCCGAUUAUAUUAUAUGAAAUUCCUUCUGGACGUUUCAUGAGAGAAUUGUGUGGCCACCUCAAUAUCAUUUAUGAUCUUUGCUGGUCAACGGAUGAUCGAUAUAUUCUUACAUCAUCAUCUGAUGGCACUGCCAGGAUAUGGAAAAAUGAAAUAAACAAUACAAAUACUUUCAGAGUUUUACCUCAUCCUUCUUUUGUUUACACGGCUAAAUUUCAUCCAGCUGUAAGAGAGCUGGUGGUGACAGGAUGCUAUGAUUCUAUGAUACGGAUAUGGAAAGUUGAUAUGAGAGAAGAUUCUGCCAUAUUGGUUCGACAAUUUGAUGCUCACAAGAGUUUUAUCAACUCUCUCUGUUUUGAUGCUGAAGGCCAUCACAUGUAUUCAGGAGACUGCACAGGGGUGAUUGUUGUUUGGAAUACUUACGUCAAAGUUAAUGAUUUGCAACAUUCAGUGCGCCACUGGACUAUAGAUAAGGAAAUUAAGGAAACUGAAUUUAAGGGGAUUCCAAUAAGUUAUUUGGAGGUUCAUCCCAAUGGAAAACGUUUAUUGAUUCAUACCAAAGACAGUACUUUGAGAAUUAUGGAUCUCCGAAUAUUAGCAGCAAGGAAAUUUGUCGGUGCAGCAAAUUACCGGGAAAAGCUUCACAGUACUUUAACACCAUGUGGGACUUUUCUCUUUGCUGGAAGUGAAGAUGGCAUAGUAUAUGUUUGGAACCCUGAAACAGGAGAACAAGUAGCAAUGUAUUCUGAUCUGCCAUUCAAGUCACCUAUUCGAGACAUUUCGUACCAUCCAUUUGAAAAUAUGGUUGCAUUUUGUGCAUUUGGGCAGAAUGAGCCCAUUCUUCUUUACAUUUACGAUUUCCAUGUAGCCCAGCAGGAGGCUGAAAUGUUCAAACGCUACAAUGGAACAUUUCCAUUACCUGGAAUACACCAAAGCCAAGAUGCUUUAUGUACCUGUCCUAAACUGCCUCAUCAAGGCUCUUUUCAAAUUGAUGAAUUUGUCCACACUGAAAAUUCUUCAACAAAGAUGCAGAUAGUGAAGCAGAGACUUGAAACUGUCACAGAGGUGAUACGAUCCUGUGCUGCAAAAGUCAACAAAAAUCUCUCAUUUACUUCACCACCACCAGCCUCCUCACAACAGUCUAAGUUAAAACAGUCAAACAUGCUGUCCGCUCAUGAGAUUCUACAUCAGUUUGGUUUCACUCAAACCGGGAUUAUCAGCAUAGAAAGAAGGCCUUGUAACCAUCAAGUAGAUUCACCUCCAACGGUAGUGGCUCUUUAUGACUAUACAGCGAGCCGAUCAGAUGAACUAACCAUCCAUCGCGGAGACAUUAUCCGAGUGUUUUUCAAAGAUAAUGAAGACUGGUGGUAUGGCAGCAUAGGAAAGGGACAGGAAGGUUAUUUUCCAGCUAAUCAUGUGGCUAGUGAAACACUAUAUCAAGAACUGCCUCCAGAGAUAAAGGAGCGCUCCCCUCCUUUAACCCCCAAGGAAAAAACCAAAACAGAAAAGCUUUCAGGUCCUCAAAAGGGUAUCCAUGAAGAGGAAACGAAGUCACAAAACAACUGAGAGCAGUCAGUCAGUAAGGACAAGUCCCAGGAUUUCAGACUUGGCUCACAAUCAGUGACACACAUAUGAUCAUACUACAAGUUAAAGUUCAGAUUACCUUUUGGACCUAAUAUUAAGCCCGGACUUCACAUUCAUACUAUAUUAAUAGCAAAAUAAAACAGGAAUGUAACAACUCUGAUGUACCCUCCCACCCCACCCCACUAUGUGCACACACAAUCUCUGCUGAAUUUCCUGCAGAAAAACAUUAGUUCAAAUUAACCCUGCUAUAUGCUUUGAGACUUUGAAGAAUAAUUUGUCUCGUCUUCAAAGAUUCUGAUUCAGAUUACAGUAAUUUACAAAAUCAUCAAAGCCAUGCAGUUUUUCACAAGACAGUAUUUCAUUCUACAGAUGCAAGAUGUGAAAUUUUUUUUAAGAGAGAAUUUUUUAAUAUUUAUUUUUUAGCUUUCGGUAGACACAACAUCUUUAUUUUUAUGUGGUGCUGAGGAUCGAACCCAGCGCCCCUCGCAUGCCAGGCAAGUGCGUUACUGCUUGAGCCACAUCCCCAGCCCCAAGAUGUGAAAUUUUUAAAUGGAUUUUUAAAAAAUCACAAAAUUAUAACCUAGAUGAUACCUUAGAAAUUCUUUCUAUAACCCUUCUGUCUUUAUAGUAGAUAAAACUGGUUUUAUAGUGGAGUAAACUUGUGCACAUUUCAAAGCGCACACUUAGUCAGACCCUGGAUCAAGACCUAAAUCUCCUGAUUCCCAGACUACUUGGGGUUUUUUGUUUGUCUCUUCUUUAACUGGACUCAGUAUCCACAAGUUACUUAGUAAGGUAUCAUUUUUUAGGGGUUUUGUGGGGGUUUGUUGUUGUUGAGAGAUAAGAUUUAUUGAUAAUUAUUUAUUUGGCCUGUGAAGCUUCAGAGUACAUUCACCCAUGUUUUCAUAUUUGAUCCUCACAACAUCCCUGGGAAAGAGGCCAAACCAUAUUUGGCCCCCAUUGUACCAAUAGAGAAACAAGAUCUGAAAGGCUACAGUGAGGGUUCCUGUUUGUGGUAUGUGGCAGAUCCAGUACCAGAACACAGGUCCUCUUAAUUCCAGUCUGCUCUUCUUUCUAUGCUCUCCCUCCACCUGUCCCACAAUACAAACACAUACCCAGGUCUUUCAGGUUUUUGUUUUGAUCUGCCAUGUAUGUUUUCAGUUCCAAGCUCUGAAAAUUUAAAUUUUACAUAAUACUAGAUAGUAAAAUCUCUGACCCUAAGAAGUUUAUACCCAAUGACAAAUUACACAUAUAUAAAGUAAACUGAUAGAAGAAGGACUGUUUCAGUAACCAAAUCAAUGACCAUAUUAGUACAUUAGAGGAACAAUAUUCUGUCUUUGAACAUGUUUUAUAACAUUUUUUAGAACUUGGACUGGGAAUGUAGUUCACUUUUUAUUAAAUAUAUAAAUGAAACAAUGUCUUUUACACAUACAACUCUGACCACUCUGAGUAGCUAUUCUCAGGUGAUACACAGAUCCACACCAUGCCCUCCAAAUUAAAGCUCAGAGACAUCUCAGUUUUUAAAGGCUAUCAGGAUAGCUUAGCUUCUCUCUUUUUUUUAAUGUAUUUUUUGUUGUUGUUGUAGAUGGACACAAUACCUUUAUUUUUAGCUUAGCUUUUCUUUUUGCAUAGAACUCACUUAAGAACUUUUUGAAAUUUUUUAGUUUCAUAAGAAGGUCAAAUAUGUCCUUUAGAUAAACAAGUCUUUGGGCCUUCCCCAUACUUAUAAUUUCCUAGAAGUAAGACUUAAUUAAGAUAGAUUUCUAAUGAGUUGAAAACUGUAGUCAAGUUGAUGAUAGAAAACUAUAACCCAGAAUGUAUAAAGAAGUCAUUUCUUUAAUGUACCUAAAAUGAGUCCAUUGUACCCAAGUAAAUGGACAAGGGCUAAAUUUUUAUUUGUUUCUUAUCUUGCUUAUUCUUUGGGUGGGGGAGGAGGAUGGCAGUCAAUUCCAUGUACACAUUUAUCUGCAUUUUAACAAAGCCACACUUUAUUUUUAGAUAUCAAGAAGAAACUUUUAUAGGUUAAUUUUCUGGAAAGUCUUUCAUUUCCACCAUUUAUACCACAUGCAGGUUCUUCAUUUAUUAACUGGUGCCCAAGUUGGAGUUUGUAAUGAAACUUCUAUAAAUAGUUAUAAUCCUUAUUAAGUAAUACUAGUAUUCUCUAGCUAUUCACAUAUUGUAUAUUGAGUUUUGUUGGGUUUUGGUUUUCUGGUUUUUAACAUUAGAAGGCUUUAUGCCAUUAAAAGCUUUGGUCAGAGAGAUUAAUUCAGAUAGUCAAUCAUUAUUAAAGUCCUUUAUUUUUAAACACUCAAAUGCCAACUGAAUGAAUGAAAUAUAGCACAGCCAUUAGUGCCAAGUAUUCUAUCACCCCUCCACUGCAUAUAUUUGUCCAUCUUUAUAAUAUUCCUCCUCUACUAGGCUAAUUUCUUUUUUUCUUCAUAAGUAUGCCACUUGCAACUUUUCUAAGUUGUUUAUUAUUCAAUUUUCAGCCUUUAUCCUGCUCACUGCCCUCUAUUUCUGAAAUCAAAACCAUCCAUUGUAACAUGUGACACCAUAGUAUACUCAGCACUGAGCUUGGUACAUUGAGAGAUAUAAAAAAGUAUUCACACGUUAGAUGAGGAAAUAGAAAUAAGCAUUUUGAAGGAAACAAACUAUACAGUUGGGUGCAAAAUGGUGUGAAACGUGUUGUAAUUACAGGAAGAGAGAAGUCAAGUAGCUUGGGAAGGCCUCUGUAGGGAGUAAGGCUUAAAUUGAGCUUUGACUUAAUAGGGCUUUUGCAUGUGAUACAAGAAGGAAGCAGGUAUUUCAGACUGAAGAAGCAAAUCACAGUAAAGAUAGGGGAAGCUAGUAAGGGAAGAGUAGAAGGAGAAUUGCUAAUUGGUGGUUUGGGAUUGGGGAUUUGCAAUAGAAGAAAAAUCAAGCUAAAGAUUAUGGCUCUCAAAGAAUGCAGUAUGAAGGAGUUUGGAGAGCCACAGAUGAUUGGAAGGUGGGACUAGGAGAUAUAUUUUACUGUGUUUGCCCAGCAUUUUACAUGAGCCUGAGCAAACAUAAGGAAUUUGGUCUUGUUCCAGCCCUGUUUUUUUUUUUUUUAAUUUUUUGUUGUUGUAGAAGGACACAAUACCUUUAUUUUGUUUAUUUUUAUGUGGUACUGAGGAUCAAACCCAGUGCCUCACACAUGCUAGGCAAGCGCUCAGCCACUGAGCUACAACCCCAGCCUUUGUUCUAGACUUUGAUGCUACUGCUAUAAAGAGGAACAAUCAGGAGCAUCAUUUCCAGGUAAACAGCAAUGGUUCAUGUGUGCGCAUCAGUGCAGUGGAGGAAAUGUGGAUCAUCUGUUUUCUGCACUAGGCAUCUGUUCUCUGCACUAGGUAUUGUGCUAGACACUGAAAUCCAUUAAUAAAUGAUAUACAGUGUGCAUCUUGGAGGAGUGCUCAAUGUGGCAAGGAAGACAGACUAUGUGUAGUCAUUUGCUAAGUAGAGAUUUGCUGAGCACUACCAUAUCUCAAUGUUCUAGGCACUAGGGACACAACAGUGAACACAAAAAUCCUGGCCACAAAGAGCUAACAUUUUAUUUAUUUAUAUGUAAAAUAAGUUAAAUGUCUAUGUCAGAUAUGAGCUAUGCUAUGGAGAAAUAUAAAUCAUAGGUACAGAGAGGAAAAUUGAAGCCUACAGUUUUAAAUAGGAGUGACAGAGAAGGUCUCACUAAGAAAAGUGGAAGGAAAAAGGGAAAUGAAUGAUGUGAACAUGUGGAGAGCAAGUGUAAAAAGCCCUGAGGCAGGAAUAUACCUCGUAUCAUAAAGGAACAGAAAGGAAAUUGCUGGAGUUUCUGGAGUAAAGUAAACAACUGGGAAAGAGUUCCUGAGAUCAGGAAAGGUAGCAAGACUUUUACACUAAAUGAAAUAGGAUGCCAUUAAAAGAGGGAGUGGCUUAGAAUUUAACAGGAUCAUUCUGUCAUUUUAGGCAAAUAUAGGUAUUAAUGGACAAGUAUGGAACCAGAGAGACCAGUUAAGAUAAUAUUGAAGUUGAUGCUGCCUUGAAAAAGAGGGGUAACAGUGAAGUUAGUAAGAAGAGAUCAGGGGCUGGGGAUGUGGCUCAAGCGGUAGCACGCUCUCCUGGCAUGCGUUUGAUCCUCAGCACCACAUACAAACAAAGAUGUUGUGUCUGCCGAAAACUAAAAAAAAAAAUAAAUAUUAAAAUUGUAAAAAAAAAAGAAGAAGAGAUCAGUUUUUUUGUACACAUACAUAUUUCUAAUACUUUGAAUAAAAAUAAUAAUAGAUAUUCAAUAAAUGCAUGUAUUUAAAGUACAGUUUAAGUUUUGACAUAGAUACACACCCAUAAACUAUUACCACAAUUAACUCUCAAGAAUUCUCAUAUUCUUUUUAUAAUUUCUCCCUUCUACUUCUUCCCUUCCCUAACUUUCAUUUCAUUGCAAUCACUAAUCAUUUCUUUCUCACUUUCUAGAGUUUUAAAUACCACAGUUUGUUUUUCUCAUUUGCCUAUUCAAUGGUCUUUGGAUUGUUUCCAGCUUGAGGUCAUUACAUACAAAGCUGAUAUUCACAUUCUUGUUUAAGUCUUUUUGUGAAUACAUGCUUUCAGUUUUGUUGGGUAAAAUAUGUAGGAAUGGAACAGCUGGAUCAUAUAAUUGUUUUAUGCUUAAAUUUUUAAUAAACUACUAUAUUGUUUUCCAAA